GAUGAACGCUGGCGGCGUGCCUAAUACAUGCAAGUCGAGCGAACGGACGAGAAGCUUGCUUCUCUGAUGUUAGCGGCGGACGGGUGAGUAACACGUGGAUAACCUACCUAUAAGACUGGGAUAACUUCGGGAAACCGUAGCUAAUACCGGAUAAUAUUUUGAACCGCAUGGUUCAAAAGUGAAAGACGGUCUUGCUGUCACUUAUAGAUGGAUCCGCGCUGCAUUAGCUAGUUGGUAAGGUAACGGCUUACCAAGGCAACGAUGCAUAGCCGACCUGAGAGGGUGAUCGGCCACACUGGAACUGAGACACGGUCCAGACUCCUACGGGAGGCAGCAGUAGGGAAUCUUCCGCAAUGGGCGAAAGCCUGACGGAGCAACGCCGCGUGAGUGAUGAAGGUCUUCGGAUCGUAAAACUCUGUUAUUAGGGAAGAACAUAUGUGUAAGUAACUGUGCACAUCUUGACGGUACUUAAUCAGAAAGCCACGGCUAACUACGUG
rnacentral:rRNA from 1 species